rnacentral:other from 4 species
GGGACCCAGGGCCGGCGAUAUAUAUUCGGACCCUACAGUCAAUAACCCAGGGAGCUGUCCCUGCUUGCGGUGUGCAUGCCCGGCCCGACCGGGAAGCCUGAAGCGAGUAAAUGGCGCCCACUUUGAAUUCCGGGUUCCAAUUGACUUCGCCUGUUCUGGGUCAAU